rnacentral:rRNA from 1 species
UACAGAGGUCUCAAGCGUUGUUCGGAUUCAUUGGGCGUAAAGGGUGCGUAGGCGGCGCGGUAAGUCGGGUGUGAAAUCUUGGAGCUUAACUCCGAAACUGCAUUCGAUACUGCGGUGCUUGAGGACUGGAGAGGAGACUGGAAUUCAUGGUGUAGCAGUGAAAUGCGUAGAGAUCAUGAGGAAGACCAGUGGCGAAGGCGGGUCUCUGGACAGUUCCUGACACUGAGACACGAAGGCCAGGGGAGCAAACGGG